AGCAGCCGCGGUAAUUCCAGCUCCAAUAGCGUAUAUUAAAGUUGUUGCAGUUAAAAAGCUCGUAGUUGAAUUUCGAGAUCAAAUUGUUGGUCGUGCCUUGGUACGCACUGGCAUUAUUGGUUUCUCCCUUCUGACGAACCAUGAUGUCAUUAAUUUGGUGUCUUGGGGAAUCAGGACUGUUACUUUGAAAAAUUAGAGUGUUUAAAGCAGGCUCACGCUUGAAUACAUUAGCAUGGAAUAAUGAAAUAGGACGUUUGAUUCUAUUUUGUUGGUUUCUAGGAUCGACGUAAUGAUUAAUAGGGAUAGUUGGGGGCAUUAGUAUUCAAUUGUCAGAGGUGAAAUUCUUGGAUUUAUUGAAGACUAACUACUGCGAAAGCAUUUGCCAAGGAUGUUUUCAUUAAUCAAGAGCGAAAGUUAGGGGAUCGAAGACGAUCAGAUACCGUCGUAGUCUUAACCAUAAACUAUGCCGACUAGGGAUCGGAUGAUGUUAAUUUUUAUGACUCAUUC
rnacentral:misc_RNA from 1 species